rnacentral:rRNA from 1 species
AUGUGGCCAGUGGCCACCACACGCUAUUCUGAGUCGUCCGGGAGCCCCGACGGGUUCUUCUCCGUCGACCACAUCACCGGAUCGAAGCCGGGGAGCACCUGCGACGCCGCCCGCGUCCGUUCCCUUCGUCGGCGUCCUCCUCGGCCGCUGCGUCGAUCUACUCGCUCCGACCGUCCCCGGCACCCUCGAGCCUUCUUCGAGCAUCAAAACCCCGAGACUGAUGCUGCCCCUGUGAUCGACUACGUCGACGACGACCCCUCCUUGCCAGAGCAACCAGAUGUCGGAGCCCAGGAGCCAGAUGCCACCGUUGAUGCCUACUUCUACGUGAAGACCGCCAACGACCAGGAGUAG